rnacentral:tRNA from 1 species
GCCCUCGUAGCUCAGCUGGUAGGGCGGGCGCUGUGCAAAAGAGUAGGCCGUAUCAAUGCGUGGGUUCGAAUCCCACCGAAGUCA